GAUGAACGCUGGCGGCGUGCCUAACACAUGCAAGUCGAGCGAGGGUUUGCUCAGUAUUGAGUAUUCUAAGACUAGAAUGUUCAAUUCUGAGCAAAACCAAGCGGCGGACGGGUGAGUAACGCGUGGGUAACCUGCCCUAUACACAUGGAUAACAUACUGAAAAGUUUACUAAUACAUGAUAAUAUAUAUUUGCGGCAUCGCAGAUAUAUCAAAGUGUUAGCGGUAUAGGAUGGACCCGCGUCUGAUUAGCUAGUUGGUGAGAUAACUGCCCACCAAGGCGACGAUCAGUAGCCGACCUGAGAGGGUGAUCGGCCACAUUGGAACUGAGACACGGUCCAAACUCCUACGGGAGGCAGCAGUGGGGAAUAUUGCACAAUGGGCGAAAGCCUGAUGCAGCAACGCCGCGUGAACGAUGAAGGUCUUCGGAUCGUAAAGUUCUG
rnacentral:rRNA from 1 species